rnacentral:rRNA from 1 species
AUGGCGGAGGCUAGAGCUCUCAAAUUUGGUCUAACAUUGGCGCAAAGGGCGGGAUGCAAUCGGAUUAUCGUAAAUUUGGAUAAUAUGGAGGUGAUUGACUCUAUGAAUGAUGGAGGGCAGUCGGCGGGUGCGGCGACAGCAAUCUUUGAGGACUGUUUUUACUAUGCCUAUGAUUUCGUUACUGCUAGAUUUGAGCACUGUAAUAGGGAAGCAAAUAAGGUAGCUCAGAGCAUCUCCAACAGCCGCGCUAUAUAAGCGCCGCGCGAUUGGUUUGAGGAGCCUUUAAACGAAAUUGUAAUGUUCUUCACAAAUGAUGCACAACUUAUUACAGAUGAAUAA